CUGUGUCCCGUACGUGUCAUCUACAUAGAGUAGAACUAUCCCCUUUUCUCUCUAAAAAGAAAGAACCAUCCCCUGCUCUCGUACGAUCCCCACCAGGUUCCUGAGUCCUCAUCCUCGUUUGCCAUUUCUUCCGAUUUGCCGCCGGCAAAGGAAGAUGUCACCAUUGGCCAUCAGGAAAUUAAUACCCAGGUUAUCCCAGAUCUACACGCCGUUUCUUUUCUCUGAGUUUUGCUUCCAUAGGGUGGUGGCGCAUGUGGCUGGGUGAGUGCACGGAUCUCGGCAACCUCGUCGAGUCUGGAGAAAUGGCCACAGAGAUUGCCAAGGAGAAUUUGGGUUGUGCUGCUUAUACUUGCCAUCGCCGGGUGCUUUGGAUGUUGGUGGCGCGGAGGUAGCUAGGGAGCUCACGGAGCAGGGAUGUGAAGCAGCUUCUGCGGGCAGCUUCUUACUUGUUGUCCUGUUCAUUGUUGGUGUUGUCUGGAGUCCUACCAAAUGUAAGUGUUACUGCAAUCAUAUAAGUUUUGGUGAAGGGGAAUGAUCUAGAAAUCAAAAUAAGUUGAUCUCAACCUAGCAAGCGAUUCUUCCAUCUAAUUAGUGAUGCACAGUAAAAAAGGAGGUUUACAUGCACUUUUACUCAGCCAAAUAGCAAAAGCAUCAGCUUGAUGUGAGACAUGCAUGUGCCUAGUUGCAGUUUAAGUUCUAAAGUUCAGUAAUUUUCGUGGGGCUAGUCUUCUUUCUGGAUUCUUGCAUCUUAAUUACCACACAGAGGCAAUGGUAUAUGGUGAACACAUGGAUGCAAGGCAUCUGAAGUAUACACACCCAUUGUUUUGAAUCUUGCUUCUUGAAUCUUGUUGUCUAAUGGUAGAGUUUUGAGGCCUGAAUUAAGGUUCCUGCCACUUUUAUAAAUGUUGCAGGGCAGUACAUUUAUGGUUUCUGUACACCUUUUUUCUUUCUGGAUUCGGCAACCUUUUGUGCCCAUAGGAACCAAUAUUGCUGUAUAAUUGUAUAUUAUGUCUUCCCGUUCAUCCAUGGCUCUCCACUAUAAAGUGUUCUAUUCUUUUAUUUGUUGUUACCAUGUCCUAGCAAGAAGGCCUUAAUUUGGUUCAUAUAUGUUAAUUGACAUGCAAUGGUUUGAUUUUUAUAUGUGUUGGUGGUGCAGAUGAUAUUGAAGAUCUAUUAAUGGUUUUAUUAAACUAAAAAGGUUGUAUGAGGUAUAGGUGUUUAUUACCUAGGACAAUAGCUGUCAAGAUUUUGUGUCUUCCAAAAAUUACAAUAUGACGUGCUUUUGAUAGUGUUAACAUUUGCACUAUUAUUAUCUAAUAAGUUUCCUUCUUAUCCUGGUCAAUGUCAAGUACUCUUCCUAAAUCUUUGUGUGUACAUUAGUCUGCCUUACUAUUUAAUUAAUAAGCAACUUAUCCAUUAAUCUAUGGAUAGUCUCUUUGUUUUCCUAGGCUGUAAUUAUCCAUCAUUAUUCUGUGACUGUAAAAUGAAAUGCAUUUAAAAAUAAUACAUGCGUAAAAAUCUAAAAGUGCGUAUGGUGGGAAAAUCAAUCUCCCUUUUAGCUUGCAUGUCUUGCUUCUUCGUUUCUUGUUCCAACAUGGUGUCCACUUUGUCAUCUAUCAACUGCUUGGCAUACUGUAAGAUAAAUCAGUGAGGAAAAACAGAAAAGAUAAUCGUUAUUUAUUUUAAUGAAUUAAAUGCGCCUUUACCUCCUUGGCUUUUUUGUUCAGGUACAACAUCUCAAGCCAGGAAUAAAUGUUUCGUUAGAUGACAGACAUCGAGCAUCUGAGUCUUCAUCGUUAAGCAAUGCCACAAUGGAAGAAGUAUAAUUAAAAUUUAAGACAUUGGUAUACACCAUGCACUUACUAUGGUAUUAGAGAUUCAAUAUCACAGGCGUUUUUACUUGAAAAGGAUUAAAACACACUGCUUCAAAAGGAUAGAAAAAGUAGUUGUCGAUUGAUAAUGUGCACAUGAAGAUUGUAGCUGACAAAAGUGAGUUCAUAUAAUAAUAAUUACUAACCAUGUUGAUUCAGAGGUAGAAAUCGAGUUGCAUGCCACUUCAUAAUUUGGGUUGGCUUCGAUAUUUGCAGAGCGCCAGGUCCAAACAUCUUGCGCCAGUCUGUUGGCUUCAACUGUCCUGGUGGUGGCAUCGUGAGUCACGGCAUCGUAGAGUUGGUUGGCUUCAAUUUUCCUGGUCGUGUCGCUGAGUCGUGAGUUGCUUGGUGUCAUAGAUUUCCAGACUGAAGAUGGGCGUGUUUGGCUGCUGGGUGUGGUCGGCCGUGUAUUUUUAUGGAUGAGUUCUGGCCGUGUCCUUAUGGAGUCCUUGUAUGUUUAUAUUUGAGGCAAAUCAGAGAGCUUUAUUCAAACAAAAGCAUUCCCCGGACAAUCAGCUAAAAGACUGGUCACAAGGAAGCUAGGGGUUUCCUCCAGCCAGCAAUCCGUCACAUUCAAGGUGCAUGCAUGUUUUGCACAAAGAUGCGCUGGUAGAUUUGCUGACCGGUUUACAUGCUGAACAUCAAAUAAAAAAAUUAUCGCUAAGCUCUCCUAUUUCUAACAAGAUAGGGGCCACAAUU